GUUUGGGAAUCCUGAAUGUUUUACUUUUGGCUGAACUCAUCGCCCUCAGCAUACACACUCAUCACAUGACAGCAGAUUUUUCUGACAUCAGCAACAUUCUGACCGAGCAGAACAGCAGCAGCAAGUUUCCCUCCAUGAACGCUAACUUCACUGAAACGGCUCCACGAGCUGAAGACACUUUAAGGGAAAUUGUGUCCUACAGAACGAACAAACAUCAGUUGUUCCUGUUCAUCCAGGGGCUGCAGAAGAAGAGAAGAGCAGAUCCACUAGUGAUGGAUGAUUAGGAUCUGUGUUCACUGUGAUAUUAUUCACCAAGAAUAAUGUAGCUUACGGUGUUACAUAAAACCCUAAAGAUAAAAUGUUCACUUCCAACUGUUGUGACCUGCAUUUAAUAACACAACAAUUUUACCGGUUGUACUCUGUGUUUUUCUUUCUUGUUAAAAUUCUGACGUGAUAAACAAACGUUAGAGGAUAGUUUUGUG